GCCCUGAUGGUCUAGCGGUAUGAUUCUCCCUUAGGGCACAUCUUCAGAUUCACCUAUCUGGGAGAGGUCCCAGGUUCGAAUCCUGGUUAGGGCC
rnacentral:tRNA from 1 species